GUUGAAACACCAGUUCUCUUACGAUCACCGAAGUUAAGCAUCGUCGCACAUGGUCAGUAUCUAGAUGAGUGACUGCUUGGGAAUACUAGCUGCUGUAA